GAGAGGAGAGGAGAGGAGAUGGGAACGGAGCGCGUGGGCAGCGCUGCCAGGCACAUGACAAAGUGGAAAGUGUUGUCUUUAAAACCGUGUAAUGCUCCUCAAAUGUGUGGCGACGCAGCCAAAAGCUCAGAAAGAAAGCGUGAGAAGCCAAAAGAAAAAAGAAAAAAAAAAGGAAAAGAAAAUGAAAGCUGAAGAGAGUGGAGGUUGGUGGGGGGACGAGACGCAGAGAGAGCUAUACAGUCAGCUGAGAUAAUUGACACUCUCAGAGAGCGAGCCAGCACUUCUCCUCUUCCUCUCAUCGUUUAAGUGCCGCGCUGUGGUUUAAGUUAUUGCGCCCAUUGUAAGUCACAAAGCGGGGAGGAAUGUUUGGCCGGCGCUCUGGGAAACGCCACUCCGGGCCCCGCAGCUGUCACAGCUCCGGGGACUUGAAUUCUGCCACGGAGAGCUCAAUGGCGGGGAGCUGGCACACCAACAUGUGCUGCUUAUUUUUUUUAAUUUUUUUCUGGUGGACUUUAUGUGAAUCUGAAAACGCGUAGCCGUGUAGCUUCGCUCACAUCCUCGCACGCUACCGUGACCGCGCCACUCUCCGACAGCCGCAAGAGUUCAGAUUCACAGCAGGCAGACGGGGGACAGAACCAGAGCCAGGCCAAAAGUCAGACCUCCGUCAGGCCCUCUGUUCAGCUGAAGAACCCAAGACUUUUUAUUCCACUUUCAUUUCCAGCAUUUCUGUCUUACAUCAGAGUUAACAACAGAAUUCAGAUUUAUGCCAUAAAAUAUUUUGCUGUAAGCUUUUUCUCCCCAGUCUCACUAGUGUUGGUAUAUUUUGUUUAUCUGUUAUUACUAUGUGUGAAUCAAAAGUAAAGCCGUUUUGAUUCCAUUAAUAGUAUGUUUUGAUUAUUUGGCUACUUUGGUUUUAGUUCAUUAUCAAUAUGAAGUUAUUGAUUAGUAACUAAUAAAUGUUACUUUACUGAUUAUCGGCUGUUAUUAAUUUUCUAAUUUUCAAUCCAGUGCUUUUUCCUGCAUUGAUUUGAAAUAAAACUUUGAAUCUUGGAACAUA